GAGGAUGUAGCCCAAUGGCAGAGCUUCUGCUUUGCAUGUAGAAGGUCCUAGGUUCAUUCCCUGGAAUAUUCA